AUUGAACGCUGGCGGCAGGCCUAACACAUGCAAGUCGAACGGUAACAGGAUGAGACUUGCUUCUUUCCUGACGCGUGUCGCACGGGUGUGUAAUGUCUGUGAAACUGUCUGAUGGCGGGGGAUAACUCGUGGAAACGGUAACUAUUACCGCAUAACGUCGCAACACCAAAGAGCGGGACCUCCUGGCCUCUUGCCAUCUUAUGUGCGCAGAUGUGGGAUUAGAGAGUAGGUGGGGUAAAGGCCCACCAAGGCGACGAUCCGUAGCUGGUCAGAGAGGAUGAUCAGCCACACUGGAACUGAGACACGGUCCAGACUCCUACGGGAGGCAGCAGUGGGGAAUAUUGGACAAUGGGCGCAAGCCUGAUGCAGCCAUGCCGCGUGGAUGAAGAAGGCCUUCGGGUUGUAAAGUACUUUUGGUGGGGAGGAAGAGAGGAAAGUUAAUACCUUGGCGUAUUGACGGUACCCGAAGAAGAAGCACCGGCUAACUUCGUG
rnacentral:rRNA from 1 species